rnacentral:rRNA from 1 species
AGAGGGUGCAAACGUUGUUCGGAUUUACUGGGCGUAAAGCGUGUGUAGGCGGCUUGGCAAGUUGGAUGUGAAAGCCCACGGCUCAACCGUGGGAAGCGCAUCCAAAACUGCUUCGCUCGAGUCUCGGAGAGGAAGGUGGAAUGCUUGGUGUAGAGGUGAAAUUCGUAGAUAUCAAGCAGAACACCUGCGGCGAAGGCGGCCUUCUGGACGAUGACUGACGCUGAGACACGAAAGCGUGGGGAGCAAACAGGAUUAGAUACCCUGGUAGUCCACGCCGUAAACGAUGAGUGCUAGGUGUCACGGGCUUUGACCCUCGUGGUGCCGUAGCUAACGCAAUAAGCACUCCGCCUGGGGAGUACGGUCGCAAGACUA